CCCUUCGAUGUUCGGAGCUGCACGCGCGCUACACUGUGGGUGGCAGCAUGUUAGCUUGCCUCGCUCGCAAGAGUGGGGUAAUCGUUUGAAAAUCCCACGUGAUUGGGAUAGGGACUUGUAAUUAUUUCCCUUGAACGAGGAAUCCCUAGUAAGUGCAGGUCAUCAGCUUGCGCUGAUUACGUCCCUGCCCUUUGUACACACCGCCCGUCGCUACUACCGAUUGAACGUUUUAGUGAGGUAUUUGGACUGGACCUUCGGAGGUUCGCGCCUCCGUUGCUGUUCGGGAAGACUCCCAAACUUGAGCGUUUAGAGGAAGUAAAANUCGUANCA
rnacentral:rRNA from 1 species